rnacentral:rRNA from 1 species
AUUGAACGCUGGCGGCAUGCUUUACACAUGCAAGUCGAACGGUAACAGGCCGCAAGGUGCUGACGAGUGGCGAACGGGUGAGUAAUGCAUCGGAACGUGCCCAGUCGUGGGGGAUAACUACUCGAAAGAGUAGCUAAUACCGCAUACGAUCUAUGGAUGAAAGCGGGGGACCGUAAGGCCUCGCGCGAUUGGAGCGGCCGAUGUCAGAUUAGGUAGUUGGUGGGGUAAAGGCUCGCCAAGCCAACGAUCUGUAGCUGGUCUGAGAGGACGACCAGCCACACUGGGACUGAGACACGGCCCAGACUCCUACGGGAGGCAGCAGUGGGGAAUUUUGGACAAUGGGCGCAAGCCUGAUCCAGCAAUGCCGCGUGCAGGAAGAAGGCCUUCGGGUUGUAAACUGCUUUUGUACGGAACGAAACGGCUCUGGUUAAUACCCGGGGCUAAUGGCGGUACCGUAAGAAUAAGCACCGGCUAACUACGUG